rnacentral:RNase_P_RNA from 13 species
GGAGUAGGCGCAGGCGGUUGCAGAUCAGUCAAAGUGACUGGUUUGAGGAAAGUCCGGGCUCCCGAAAGACCAAACUUGCUGGAUAACUCCCAGUGCGAGCGAUCGCGAGGAUAGUGCCACAGAAAGAUACCGCCAUCUUCAGUCAACAGUCAAAACCUGAUAACUGAAAAUGGUAAGGGUGCAAAGGUGCGGUAAGAGCGCACCAGCACAACCGAGAGGUUGUGGCUCGGUAAACCCCGGUUGGGAGCAAGGCGAAAGGAAACUAUGGUUGGUCUUUUACCAGUUUCCUAAAAUAGAGCCGCUAGAGGCGUUUGGUAACAAACGUCCCAGAUAGAUGACUGCCCUCAAAGGUGUUGAAAAAUACUGGUGAGAACAGAACCCGGCUUAUGUCCGACUCUCUUC